rnacentral:tRNA from 1 species
GGGGAUUUAGCUCAGCGGUAGAGCGCUUGUCUAGCAAGCACAAGGCCUGGGUUCGAUCCCCAGCUCCG